CACGUAGGGGGCAAGCGUUGUCCGGAUUUAUUGGGCGUAAAGAGCUCGUAGGCGGUUCGGUAAGUCGGGUGUGAAACCUCCAGGCUCAACCUGGAGUCGCCACUCGAUACUGCUGUGACUAGAGUCCGGUAGGGGAGCGUGGAAUUCCUGGUGUAGCGGUGAAAUGCGCAGAUAUCAGGAGGAACACCAGCGGCGAAGGCGGCGCUCUGGGCCGGUACUGACGCUGAGGAGCGAAAGCGUGGGGAGCAAACAGG
rnacentral:rRNA from 1 species